rnacentral:rRNA from 1 species
AAAUGUCCAAUCCUACGGAGCACCAGUGGGAUUUGCCAUUGGGCAGCUGUAUGCAGCAUGCGGUGUAUGGAGAGGCCUUCCGUUGUAAGUACUUCCAGCCGGGAGGAAGUGCUGAUGUAUAAACCCAGCGAAUGACGUACCCGCAGAAGAAGCCACUGGCUAACUCCGUGCCAGCAGCCGCGGUAAUACCGAAGGGUGCAAGCGUUAUCGGAAUUUCUGGGCGUAAGCGCACGCAGGCGGUCUGUCAAGUCCGGAUGUGAAAUCCCCGGGCUUCAACCUGGGAACUGCAUUCGAAAACUGGCAGGCUAGAGUCUUGUAGAGGGGGGGUAGAAUUCAGGUGUAGCGGUGAAAUGCGUAGAGAUCUGGAGGAAUACCGGUGGCGAAGGCGGCCCCCUGGACAAAGACUGACGCUCAGGUGCGAAAGCGUGGGGAGCAAACAGGAUUAGAUACCCUGGUAGUUCACGCCGUAAACGAUGUCGACUUGGAGGUUGUGCCCUUGAGGCGUGGCUUUCGGAGCUAACGCGUUAAGUCGACCGCCUGGGGAGUACGGCCGCAAGGUUAAAACUCAAAUGAAUUGACGGGGGCCCGCACAAGCGGUGGAGCAUGUGGUUUAAUUUGAUGCAACGCGAAGAACCUUACCUACUCUUGACAUCCAGAGAACUUUCCAGAGAUGGAUUGGUGCCUUUGGGAACUUUGAGACAGGUGCUGCAUGGCUGUCGUCAGCUCGUGUUGUGAAAUGUUGGGUUAAGUCCCGCAACGAGCGCAACCCUUAUCCUUUGUUGCCAGCGGUUCGGCCGGGAACUCAAAGGAGACUGCCAGUGAUAAACUGGAGGAAGGUGGGGAUGACGUCAAGUCAUCAUGGCCCUUACGAGUAGGGGUACACACGUGCUACAAUGGCGCAUACAAAGAGAAGCGACCUCGCGAGAGCAAGCGGACCUCAUAAAAUGCGUUGUAGUCCGGAUUGGAGUUUGCAACUUGACUCCAUGAAGUUGGAAUCGCUAGUAAUUGUAGAUCAGAAUGCUACGGUGAAUACGUUCCCGGGCCUUGUACACACCGCCCGUCACACCAUGGGAGUGGGUUGCAAAAGAAGUAGGUAGCUUAACCUUCGGGAGGGCGCUUACCACUUUGUGAUUCAUGACUGGGGGAAGUCGUAGCAUUGAUCUUGCCCC